UGCCCUGAUGGACUGCUGUAUGAUGUCAUGAUAAUCAUGUUAAUUGUUUUUAAAUUUGAUUAAAAAUUCACCAGUAAUGAGUACAUGGUUGUUGUGUUUUUGCAUUUGACAUAUUUAAAAAAGCACCAUUUGGGUUCAAUUUUUAAAAAUUGAAAGCCGAAGGGACACCCCUCUCAUACCCACCCCUUCCCCGCCACUUUACACAACUUUACCCCAGCGCCUUAACAAAUUCCUGGGGAAGGGCCUGUAUAAUGUAUCAAUAUUUCUAGUCUGACUUAAGCACAACAUAUUUCUGAAAUCUGAAUAUCUUUCUUCACAAAACUAUGAGCAAAUACCUUUAUCUGAUACAUUAUACAGGCCCUUCCCUAG
rnacentral:sRNA from 1 species